CGUACCGCGAUACAGUGUUGCCGUACCACGAUAUACCGCGGUACGCUCACGGCGUAUCGUGACAGCCCUACUUACCAGUGCAUUCAACUGUAGAAGCGAAGAAGAACGCAACAAACUGAAAAAGAAAUACAACGUGGAUUUUCAACUUGUAACAGACGACCUCUACGCGAGCAAUUCGAUGCUGAAACUGACAGUGAGCCGGCAGGUUACAGUAAUGUGUCUCUGCAAUUCAUACAGAAGUGCGUUCGGACAUACGCGUCGCGUUAUCCAUUUCAAUGGCUGAACAACAACUGCCACCGUUUUGUAAAUGACAUGGCUAAGUUGUUGUGUACCGUGAGAGAAGGGAAUUGCUGGAGCUGGUGUAAGCAACAUGAGCAUAUACACAGAAAUAAUAUAAGUGUGAUAUUUCCGAUAAGUCACUUAUGAGAAGGAUAAAAGCUAACUUGACUUCAUGGAACGUUUUGUAUACUAAUGCUAUAUAUAUAUAUUUUUAUUAAAAAUUAAAUUAAACUGCUAUGUGAAAGACUUAACAUCAAAGAAGACGAUUUACGGAACAUUUUUUUCCUAAACAUAAAUAUAUGAAAUAAAUGAGAUGGAAUAUA